rnacentral:ribozyme from 1 species
GAACGAUGAUGCAAAAAAAGUCGACGACUCGAAAAAGUGGAAUAAAAAUAUCCUUAAUCGAAUCAAGGUUAAGUACCUCGACUCUCUGUUAGAUCUUGUACAAUACCUUGCGUCUGUUCAAUCCUUCCCACGAC